rnacentral:misc_RNA from 1 species
GAUGAAGAACGUAGUGAAAUGCGAUAAGUAGUGUGAAUUGCAGAAUUCAGUGAAUCAUCGAAUCUUUGAACGCACAUUGCGCCCCAUGGUAUUCCGUGGGGCAUGCCUGUUCGAGCGUCAUUUACCCCCUCAAGCUCCGCUUGGUGUUGGGCGUCUGUCCCGCUUCGCGCGCGGACUCGCCCCAAAGGUAUUGGCAGCGGUCGUGCCAGCUUCUCGCGCAGCACAUUGCGCUUCUCGAGGCACCGGUGGGCCCGCGUCCAUCAAGCUCACCCCCCCAGUUUGACCUCGGAUCAGGUAGGGAUACCCGCUGAACUUAAGCAUAUCAAUAAGCGGGGA